rnacentral:tRNA from 1 species
GCAGUCGUGGCCGAGUGGUUAAGGCGAUGGACUGGAAAUCCAUUGGGGUCUCCCCGCAUAGGUUCGAAUCCUGUCGAUUGCA